GAGGGUAUAUAGCUCGGUGGUAGAGUGUGUGUUCAUCAUGCACAAGGUCCUGGGUUCGAUCCCCAGUACCUUCA